GCAGGAUAGCUCAGUUGGUUAGAGUGUGUUGCUGAUGACACCAAGAUUGCAGGUUCGAUCCCUGCAUGGGGCAGCUGCA